rnacentral:lncRNA from 12 species
GUUGUACUUUGAGGGGGUAAGGGACAGACAAGUUCAAAAGCAUCCUGUGUAAGGCACAGUCAGGGUUAUGCGGCCGGCUCAGGAACAGCUUGCGGUUUAGGCAGUCUUGUAGAGGGAGGAAGGAAACUCGCAGAGAGGAAAGAAGACGUCAGUGCUGAGUGGAGCAGCCUGUAAGAAAAAGAGACAGUGCAGUGUUUGAAACUGCCUGUGAGGGAAGGAAUCAGAGCUGGGGGCAAAGAACUCCAGUCAAAGGAGGCAGGCAGAAAUAUCGAUAAUAGACCGGUGUUUGUGCCAGUCGUGUUCGUCUCGACAUAAAUACUACACCCCAGCUCCUUCCCCGGGCUCCCACCCCGAGCAAACGGAGCAUCUGGAACUGCAGCUGCUCCCCAUCCACCUGCACCGCAGCAAUUGCUCACGGCCAGAAGGUGCCGCUCCCUCGCUGGGCGGCGGCGGGAGGAGCUGCCCGGCCCCAUCCCCGCUCUGCCGGGCACUGCGGCAGCGGGCAGUGUCCCGGAGCUGUCCCUGGCACAGACGCACGCACGGCACUGAGCGCAGAGCGGCUCAGCUGGGGACACCCGGACGGGAGCGGCCUUGGUGCCUGGGUGGCUGCUGCCCCGGCGCCAGGGGACAGGAGCUCUCCGAGUGCAGCGAUCCCUCGGGGGGCCCUCGCUCGCCUCCCAGCCUCUUGGCCGGCGCUUCUCAUCGCGCUGCGCUAUCGCCGCCUCAGCAGCCCCUGCUGCUGCAGCCACGGCCUCAGCCACUGCUCCGCCCUUGCCAGCUGCAGCAGCUCCCCGAGCAGAGGCCAAAGCCCUCCUGGCCCGUUUCCCUCGGUGCCACAGGCCGGGCAGCUGCCGGCCGUCGGGCGCCUGCUGCUGCAGGGGCCCCGUCUCAGCUGCCCGCACCUGAGUGACAACGAGCUGGGAGCCCACGGCGUCCUGCAGCGCUGCCGGCAGCUCCGGCAUCCCGCCUGCCCGCUGCGGAGCCUGGGGCUGAGCACGGACGCCUUCAGCCAGGCCCUGCGGCAGCAACUGGACGCCGUGCGGGCACUGCAGCCCGCCCUGAAGAUCGGCAACCUCCUGGAGCAUGACGUGCCGCAGGCAGGGGCCAUGGCCCGGCUGCCCUGCCAGCGCGGGCUCCUGCCGGGGGCAGGAAGGCGCUGCCCUCCCUCAGAACACCUCCCCUCCUUUAGGAACAGCCCUUUCAAGAAGGAGAGCCAUUCCCAGACGGGGUCUCCGUGCUG